GUUGCUGUUGCUGCUGCUGCUGCUUUUGGUACUGUUGCUGUUGUUGUUGAUAGUAAGCCAUGUAAUGGUGGUGUUGCUGUGGAUACAUCAUCAUCUGCUGCUGCAUCAUCACCAUAGCCGCCGCCGGAUACUGCAUAGCCGCCAUCCACUGCUGCUGCUGCUGAAGAUGGGGCGGCAUAUGUGGGAGCCAUUGCUGCUGCCGCUGAUUCUGAUGUGGUUGUUGCUGUUGCUGCUGCUGAGGCGUCGGCGGCGUCGGCAGUGCUGAGUUCAGAUCAGGACCGUUGCUUUGCUGCAUAUUGAUCUGAUGAGUUAUAAACCCCUCCUCUUCUUUUCCUCUUGUCUUCUUCUUCUCCCCUCCCAGCGUUCAAUUUCCAGUAGAGAAGGAGACAGAGGAGAGGAGAGGCUGCAAAAGAAGGAUGAGGGUAGACAACUGUUUGAUAUUUAAAGGAAGUGCGCUUCUGGGCUCUUUUUU
rnacentral:misc_RNA from 1 species